CCAGAAAAAUAAAUUAUUAACUAGAGCAUAAUAUUAUCUCCUAUAGCUUUUGAGAAUUUUAACGAGUUUCUAAGAACAGAAGCAGGAAUAAAAGUGAAAGAUUGGGAUUAAUAUCUCUUGGCAAAAUAUUAUCAACUAAAAGUGUAAUAGAAAUAGAAAUUAUUAUAUGUAAUAAAAAUGCAUAUAUAAAAUGAUUUCAUACAGAGAAAAACAGUUAAAUGUUGUUAGAGAUUUAAUGAAAACUUUGUAUAAAAAUAUCAGAGUACAUAACAGUCAAAAUACCGUACUUUGGUAUUUUCGUCACAUUCUGAAAUACACGGUGUAAUUCCAAUGCGAAACGUGUUACAAUCAACGACACGAAACACUUUCUCGAAUUACGUUACGUUAUCUAAAAGUAUUGUAUUGAUUGUUAAACUUGUAGAAGUUGUCGCAAUGAAAGUAGACGUGGUCUAUUAUGAAAUUCUGACAUAAUAUCUUUACGAAUUGUAUCAUGAUCGGAACUGUUUGACUAAUAGUUUUAUAUAGACACGGAAAUAUUUCAUUUGAAAACAUUUUUGGUACAAUUAUUUAAAUACACAUUAACGUAAUUUAUAAAUUAAUACGUCUCGUCGUCGUUUAAACGUUAAAAAUCGCACGAGAAAAUUAUUCUUCAGAAUAGAACAUAAUUUUGUAUUUGCUAGUAACCGAGAUACGUUUCAUAAAAAAUCAUGUUGAAAUGUUUUUCACCGAAAAACCUGAGAAACUCUGCAAGGAUGGUCUAUUCAAGUUGCGUGAAAGUAAACCUGCACGGAAUUGUGCAGGAACCGUAUGAAAUUGAUAGAAGGUAUGAAGGAUUCAAAGGCGAAAUUAGCUGCAGGAGGACUGAGAUUAGCAACGAAGAAGGUGCGAAUGCAGAGGAAGAAAAGAUAUAUUUAGCUAUAUUGGUUUUAAUGAUUUCAGACAAGAUUGUAAGUUGUAAAUACGUUUCAUAUAUUCGUUUUAUUCGCCAACGGCCUCAGCCAUGCAGGAACUACCGGUUCCCAUAAGAACACCGAAGUCAAACUGCGUUGGACACGGUUAACUCGAAACGGGUGACCGUGUGCUGUUGGCGUAAAAAAAGAAGAGAGAAAGAGACCAGGAGAAAAAUUGGAAUCCGUUUGUAGCGAUAUUGGCAAAGCUCCGAACGUUGUAAAACAAAAAUACGCAAUGAAACGAAAUCUAACGGGAAAUUGAAAUUCUGUUAAUACACAGAUAUCGUCGUUAAGCGAUUAAUGGAUCGGGAAAAAGGAAUUUUGCUCCGUUGCUACAGCGUGUCAGGCUAUCCACCGCAAAUGCCGUAUUUUGGAAAAAAGUUGGAUGUUAUAAUUGGGAAUAUUUUUCCUGUCCUUUAUCUGUUUCGAUGUUAUUGCGACGUAGUUUCAUAUUGGUAAAGUAUUCAGCGAUUAGGAACACGCAAGAUCAGUAGGUCGCAAACUGUUUAUGCAAACUCGUAUUUUUAUUUUUGUAUCGCGUUUGUCUCGAUUGUGUCUCACGAACGGAGACAGAACAUGUGCUGACAUGAACCUUUCUCAUUGCUUUUACGUAUAUUUUUGUAUAUUUUUGCUUAUCACAACCACUUUGUUUCCUCUUUCUCUCCGUGUUUUUUUUUCUGUUUGUUUCAAGGAAGAACCGCUGUUAAAAAGAGGAGCCUCUUUCUUAUAAGAAGAAUGAAUAUAUCGGGACAAUAAAUUAGGAGGCAGAGGUGGAGCAGUUGUUACAAAGUUUCUAUCGUUGACGGUAAACGACACAAGGGACAUAUAAAUAUGUAUAUAAAGUGGCGUAGUAUACGUAAAAAGCUAUGACAAUCCCCUUUGAAGCGCAACAGAGAAUCGCAAAAGGAACAAAAUAUGCAAGAAUUUUCAUCGCCGGUUGAAGAAACAAAUUUCGCAGAUCGCAGAUGCUACAUGAAAUAUGUUAAUGGGAACUAUAAAUCAGUCAUUCUUAAACGAUAAUUAAACCGAUUUCCUCUAACAUUUUUAUCCUUGAAUGUAAAAGCCACGAUAUUCAAUUGAAGCGUUAACAUCAACGUGAAAAAACAUUGCUUCUGCGGUUUCGAAGAGACGGCACGUACACGUAAGUACUUACAUCGGUGAUGUUGCUUCUGAAAGCAUAAUGGGAAUGCACCAACCGAUGAAGAUGCUUCAGAUCUAGACGAGACUCGUCGACGGUCAGCUGAAGGCCAGACGGUAUUUUCGCCGUUGCAUCGUACACUUUAAAGAGUAAUAAGAGAAUUAUUGGAAAUGGCGAUCACAAGGAAGAAACCACGACGAAUACAUAGUUUUGUUGUUCUCUUCUUUAUUUCUCUUCAUUCCGAUGUCGCCUUAUGACCGACGAGGAACAUUUAAUAAUCAGCUGAACCUUACAGCUCCGGACAAAAGCGUAUAGUAUGUAAUUUUUAAUGGCUUCUUCCAAAACCGAGAAAUUUUCCUAUGGUCUUCGCGUGACUUGGAAGCAUAUUUGGAAACUUUAAUAAAAAUGCCGUAAAACGUAAUGUAGAGGCAUCGUCGAUGUUCGAUGAUAAGAAGAGUUUUUGAAUAUUUUUAAAAUUGAGAUUGUGGGACGUGUACGAGAAGAUUUAUCGAAAUUCAAUCGUCUCAUGAAUAAUGUGGUUCCCCCGGGAAUGAUGUAACGAAGUAAUAAAGCUGCAAAGAAGA